CUCUUUCCCUCUGCUCCUCUGUCCCUCUUUAGGUCCUCCUCUUUCCCUCUGCUCGUCUCUGUCCCUCUUUAGGUCCUCCUCGUUCUCUCUGCACCUCUUUAGGUCCUCCUCUUUCCCUCUGCUCCUCUCUAGGUCCUCCUCUGCUCCGAUCUGUCCCUCUAGGUCCUCCUCUUUCCCUCUGCUCCUCCUCCUCUGUCCCUCUUCAGGUCCUCCUCUUUCUCUUUCCCUCUGCUCCUCUCUGACACACUUUAGGUCUUCCUCUUUCCCUCUGCUCCUCUCUGACCCUAAUUAGGUCUUCCUCUGCUCCACUCUGUCCCUCUUUAGGUCCUCCUCUUUCAGCUUUGUAUUUAGUUCUUUAUGUUGUGCUGUUUUUCUUCUCCAUUCACCUGUUCUGAAUGCUUUCCUGUCUUCUGAGCUCCUGUGAAAAACUGCUUUCAUCUUUCAGUAGUCUAGUCAGAAUAUUCCCUCAUGUUCUAUGCCCCUUGCUUUCAUUUUCCUCUUGUACCGGCUGUCUGUCACCUCUUAUUCCUGUGUGCUUUUCUCUUCCUAGAACUUAUUUUCCUUCAUUAUGAAUUUACACAGAAGAGAUGAAUCUUGUAGAAUGUUCUCUCCACGACAUGCUAAUGAGGAUUUCUAUUGCUAUUCUGUGGCUUGUUGCUUCUUCAGCCUACUCAAUUUCCUCAUGCAAAAGCAUGCCUUUUCCCAACUGCUCUCUG
ensembl:lncRNA